rnacentral:lncRNA from 1 species
GCAUUAACAUGGUUAAGGUUUUAAAAUAAUUUUUUAUGUAAAUUUUUUAUAUCAAAUCAUAAAAUUUUUUAAAUUAAAUCUAAUUUUUUAUGAUUUUAAAUUAAAAUAAUUUUGAUUAAUCAAGAUUAGAUGUGACUAACCAUCUUCGCAACUUACAUCACAUACAACAACACCUAGGGGUUUCAAGAUCUAAGAUUUUAUAAGAAAGUAAGUUUUCUCUUUUUACUUUCUUCUUCAUGGGAUCUCACAGUGGCACC